rnacentral:rRNA from 1 species
AUCGCAGGUCCUGUGAAUGGUUUGACGAGUCCUCGACUGUCUCAAGGUUGUUUUGGUGAAAUUGAAUUGAAAGUGCAAAUGCUUUCAUGGGUGAGAAAGACGAGAAGACCCCGUGAAGUUAGAAAUUCCUUUUUGUAGCGUUAAUUUCUUCUGAAUUUUGUUCAACCCUUAAGUGCUACUAAGUAAGAAAAUACAAAUAUGAUGAGUUUUGGCUGGGGAAGCAAGAGAGCAAGGCUAGACUCUCUUAGUGACGACACGGGCGCGUUACGAUCCACAGUGAAGAAUUGUGUGAUCAGCGGAAGAAGUUACUCCGGGGAUAACAGCGUAAUCUGCUUUGAUAGAUCGUAUAGACAAGCAGGUUUGCGACCUCGAUGUUGGCUUUGGGUAUCCUGGAGCUUGUAGGCGGUUCCAAGGGUUGGUUCGUUCGCCCAUUAAAACCCG